AUCCAGCUGACGAGUCCCGAAUAGGACGAAACGCGCCUACUGAAU
rnacentral:hammerhead_ribozyme from 1 species